UACGGGGGGGGCAAGCGUUGUUCGGAUUCACUGGGCGUAAAGGGUGCGUAGGCGGUCGGGUAAGUCUGAUGUGAAAUCUCACAGCUUAACUGUGAAACUGCAUUGGAUACUAUUCGGCUUGAGAGUUGGGGGGGGGACUGGAAUUCUUGGUGUAGCAGUGAAAUGCGUAGAUAUCAAGAGGAACACCAGUGGCGAAGGCGAGUCCCUGGACAACUUCUGACGCUGAGGCACGAAAGCUAGGGGAGCAAACAGG
rnacentral:rRNA from 1 species